AGUGAACGCUGGCGGUAGGCCUAACACAUGCAAGUCGAACGGCAGCACAGUAAGAGCUUGCUCUUACGGGUGGCGAGUGGCGGACGGGUGAGGAAUACAUCGGAAUCUACUUUUUCGUGGGGGAUAACGUAGGGAAACUUACGCUAAUACCGCAUACGACCUACGGGUGAAAGCAGUGGAUCUUCGGACCUUGCGCGAUUGAAUGAGCCGAUGUCGGAUUAGCUAGUUGGCGGGGUAAAGGCCCACCAAGGCGACGAUCCGUAGCUGGUCUGAGAGGAUGAUCAGCCACACUGGAACUGAGACACGGUCCAGACUCCUACGGGAGGCAGCAGUGGGGAAUAUUGGACAAAGGGAGCAAGCCUGAUCCAGCCAUACCGCGUGGGUGAAGAAGGCCUUCGGGUUGUAAAGCCCUUUUGUUGGGAAAGAAAAGCAGCAGGUUAAUACCCCGCUGUUCUGACGGUACCCAAAGAAUAAGCACCGGCUAACUUCGUG
rnacentral:rRNA from 1 species